GCGGCGGACGGGUGAGUAACACGUGGGUAACCUGCCUGUAAGACUGGGAUAACUCCGGGAAACCGGGGCUAAUACCGGAUGCUUGAUUGAACCGCAUGGUUCAAUUAUAAAAGGUGGCUUUUAGCUACCACUUACAGAUGGACCCGCGGCGCAUUAGCUAGUUGGUGAGGUAACGGCUCACCAAGGCAACGAUGCGUAGCCGACCUGAGAGGGUGAUCGGCCACACUGGGACUGAGACACGGCCCAGACUCCUACGGGAGGCAGCAGUAGGGAAUCUUCCGCAAUGGACGAAAGUCUGACGGAGCAACGCCGCGUGAGUGAUGAAGGUUUUCGGAUCGUAAAACUCUGUUGUUAGGGAAGAACAAGUACCGUUCGAAUAGGGCGGUACCUUGACGGUACCUAACCAGAAAGCCACGGCUAACUACGUGCCAGCAGCCGCGGUAAUAC
rnacentral:rRNA from 6 species